rnacentral:rRNA from 1 species
CAGUCGCCACGGGAAUACGUAGGGUGCAAGCGUUAAUCGGAAUUACUGGGCGUAAAGCGUGCGCAGGCGGUUUCGUAAGACAGAUGUGAAAUCCCCGGGCUUAACCUGGGAACUGCAUUUGUGACUGCGAGGCUAGAGUGUGUCAGAGGGGGGUGGAAUUCCACGUGUAGCAGUGAAAUGCGUAGAUAUGUGGAGGAACACCGAUGGCGAAGGCAGCCCCCUGGGAUAACACUGACGCUCAUGCACGAAAGCGUGGGGAGCAAACGGGAUUAGAUACCCCAGUAGUCCCUGUCUCUUAUAC